rnacentral:rRNA from 1 species
UACGGAGGAUGCGAGCGUUAUCCGGAUUUAUUGGGUUUAAAGGGUGCGCAGGCGGGCAGUUAAGUCAGCGGUGAAAGGUCCCGGCUCAACCGGGGGGCUGCCGUUGAUACUGCUGUCUGGAGUGCGGACGGCGCCGGCGGAAUGUGUCAUGUAGCGGUGAAAUGCAUAGAUAUGACACAGAACACCGAUCGCGAAGGCAGCUGGCGAGGCCGUUACUGACGCUGAGGCACGAAAGCGUGGGGAUCAAACA